rnacentral:pre_miRNA from 1 species
UGGCUGCUGCUGGUGCUAGACCCUAAAUUGGAAACAAUAAUAGUGAUUCUGUGACAAUUUAAUGGGUCUAGUAGUUGCAGUCUGGCCC